ACUGACCUUCCACGUGGACUCUGAGGCAUUUGCCUGUUAAAGUCUGCAGUUUGGGAAAUAUUUAUCUGCCGCCACCACCUUCUGGAUCAGUGAACGUUUGGAAAGCUGUCUUCGGAUCUCGUGACCAUGUGGCCACGUGAGAGGGUGUGGGGGAACUCUCGCCCACCAGCAUCUGGACUUGGUGUCCUUCGGUCCUAGAGGGUGGACCCCUUUCCCUGAUUUUCUCUAUAACUCCCUCACCUAACAGGCGUUUCUCUGUUACUCUUGUUAGAGCUCUAUAGGGGAGCUCCUGCGGCAGAAAUGAUAGAGGCUGUCCCUCUCAGAAGCAGAUGCGAUAUGGUGACCCGUGUAUCCCUGUGAACAUCGGAGCAUUUCAUUGAUAUUUAUUGAGGAGCGAUUCCAGGAGGGCCCCCCACUCCCGCCCCUCCAUCACUCUUCCUGCUCUGGGGCAGAGAGAGAAUUGAGAACAAUCCAAGGUAAAUCUUUAACAGGAUGGUCUAGCUUGGGCUUGGUAGGCUCGACUGAAGUAAGAGGUGGUUUUUCACUACAAUAACUGCACUGUUUGCACAAGUUUCCCCCUUGGAGUUUUCUAGGGUCAUUAGAAUGAUCUAACCGCCUCACCUGCUUUUAAACGGGGCGAGCCUCUGGAGGGACGGAAAACAAAAGCAGGGUGUUGAAAUGCAAAUAGACCACUCUGGUUCCAGUCCCGGCGGCAAGGCUGCAAAACAGUCCCGAAGCUGACAACACGGUCCCCACAGAGGUCUGGGGAAGGGCUCUAGAAAAAUCUCCCAAGGUAUAUUUCUUUUCACACACUGGAGCCCCAAGCAGCAGUGUUCAAGCCAGCCCACACGUAGGAACAAGCCAGCGGUCCACCAGUGAGGAGCGACCGAACGGAGUGUGGUCCAUCCGUCCAGGGAGCAGCUUUGGACAGUAGGAAGGAGAGAGCCUGGAUCAUGGAAACGCGAAGCUACCUGAAAGAAGCCCCUCACAGAAGACCACAUGCUGCGUGAUGGCCUGCGCUUGACGAGUCCCGAGGAAGUGAACCUACAGACAGAUUGCCGGUGGCUCUGGGCUGCAGUACAGGCGUGGGGGAUGGGGGGUGAUUGCCAAUGGUGAUGGGUUUCUUUUAAGGAGAUGAGAGUGUUUUAAAACUGGGUGUGGG
ensembl:lncRNA